CGAUCCUCCUGCUUCUGCUUCCUAAGUAGUUGGUGCUACAGGCACGUGCCACAACGCCUAGCUAAUUUUUCUGUCUUGCUCAGCCAGCUUCAAGCGACCCUCCCGCCUGGGCCUCCCAGAGUGCUAGGAUGGCAGGCGUGAGCCACAGGGGCUGGCCUCAAAGUCUCUCAUUUGAAAAACAAAACCAAACCUCUCCACUCAACUUCCGCCUGCUGCUACACUUUCUUCUCCUGCAGCUUGAGGUCUCAAGAGAGUCAGUGUCGGAAAGUAGCUUUGGCUGGCAUGUUUUGGCUGUGCGAAGGCAUCGGGGCUGAAGUGCCUGCGAUUCUCUUGCCUCUUCUCUGCUGGAAGCUUCUGCAAGCUCCAGCUACCAUGCCAUCUUCAGAGAGUGAGAUAAAGGCAGAGGUGAGACGGAAUAUGCACCCAGAGAAAAAGCUUUCCUGAUAACGCCUCAGCAAAUGCAAGCUAGUGUCAACUGGCCAGAGAUCCGUCUCCCAGCCAUCUCUAUGUGGAAACAGGGCGAGGAAGCUGAAGAUGUUGCUGAUGCAGCCCCUGUUAAGUAGAGGCUAGCAGAAGCUAAAGUAGCCGAGAGCAGCAUCUUCUCUUGCCCUCCUCCAUCCAAUCCUCAAUCCUGAAAGUGAUGUUUCCAGAAACAGUUUGGACCAUGACGCUCCUCUCGCCAUGACUUUCGGUGAUUCAGAGUAAGUGACUCUGUGGAAGAUCACAAAGGCUCUGAUCUGGGUGCUGUCCGCCUCUCUCGCCUCCCCUCUCACCUGCUCCCUGAGCCCCUACCCCUGCCCUCCCUGGCCUUCCCUGAGUGCACUUUGCUUCUUCCUAUCUUGGGGAUUUUAUCCUUCCUGAAUUUUUCCAAGGCCCGAAACAAUCUCUUCUUUCGAGAAAUUGACUCCUGCUUCUCUUCCACACCUCAGCUCAAAUGUCACUUCCUUAGAGAAGAUAUUCCUGAUCCCUAAGCCAGACUGCAUUCUCCCGGUAUUUGGAAUUAUAUAUUUAUUUGCAAUCUACUUGAUUAACACCAUGCUCCGCCACUAGAACAUAAGCCCCUUGAGAGGAGAUAUCACAUUAUUUACCUUUUUUUUUUUUUCUUUACUGUGUUCUAGUGCCCGGCCUGGUACAGUGCUAGUCACAUGGUGGGAAUUGACAUAUAUUUGUUGGAUAUAGUAAAUACUGGCACAGAAUUGUAUUUACACAUUAGUGAAUUGUAAUCAAAACAACAGUGAGUAAGAACUUAUGAACUCAUGUCCUACUCUGUAUCUAGGACUUGGUAAGUACAAAUAAAAAUAGUCCUGGUAAAUUUGCAAAGAUAGGAUUUGCUAACCCUUUGUAAGGGAGAAUCCCAAAAGAAAUGCUUUUUGAAAAUCUGAGAUGCUUGUCCAGUGUCACCGUCUAAUUCUGCUGGCCAUGCCAUCUGGAACAGUAGGGAUAUUUCAGUCAAGACCAGGACAGCCAGAGUGACUGCUUCUGUCAAAGCCAGAGAGAGAGACAGGGAGAUUAUCCAACUGCUCUAAAUCUCUUGCAGCCCUGGCAUUUGGGCAAUUUCUUCAAAACCCCUUUAUGUCCAAUUCUCGGAUCUUACGAAUUCUCACUCUUCCCAUAUAUAUCAAUACUUCUCUCCUUUCCAGAGCUAGAACUGAGCCGCUAGUUCUCACCAAACCAAUUCCAUCUCACCGUGACAGGUGUAGACAUGGCUUUCAGGAAACAAACACCAGCAAAUAAAACUGAAAUAAACACUUUCUUUUCCUUUAGGGUUAGAGAUUGAUGCAUGUGCGUCAAAAGAAAGGUUGAGGUUCAGAUUAAUAAAUGGGCCUAAUCUAGGCUUCCCCGCCCUUGGGCCACUCCAGCCACCAGUUAUUCCUUGAGAUAAAGUUUCGCCUGACCUUUCCCAGGGUGUAGCAAGCGGGAUCUGCUAGCCAAGAUAUCUCCACCUGGCUAGAGGGACCACUGGGGGGAGAGUGGGCGAGGGCUGCCUCUUAGGUGCCUGUUUUCUGCCUCAGCCUAGCUUUCCUUUUGAGCCUCAUUCUUCUUUUCUUCACCCAGAUCGUCUUCAACUUUAUAAAUGGCAAUGAGGCUUUGGUAAGAAGUAUUUUAGGGGGUGGGAGAGAGAUUUGACUGUGCUAUAGAGAAUGGCCACACGGAAGGGGCGAGGAGGGGACAGGUGUAUGCAAACACAACGAGUGAGGUGUGCACCGUCUGGGGGAUGGGCACGCUUGAAGCUCAGACUCGAG